AGCUAAUAAAUAUGUCCGCCCAGGCUUCUCCAUCCUCGUCCUCCCCCCACCACCGCCGUGCAGAAUGCAGUUUUCAGAUGACGAACCGCUAAAACAAUCAUAAUUAGCGGCUGGAAACAGUUCAACUGUAAAAACCGCACACCGACUGAAGGUUGCUUGCCGGCUCCUUUCCAAAUUAACUUUAAAACCACUCUUCCCUCAACCAAAAUGGUUUCUGUAGAGCUUCGCCUUCUUCCAUCGCCACAACAGUGGCGCGACUUCUAAGAUUCGGCAGCUUCCGGAAGGACUCAGAACCACCUAUAACCCUAGCCGACAGUUCAGCAGGCUGAUCCACUUGGGGGCUAAUUGGAGAAACCAGUUGAUUGGUUGCUUCCGUGCUGCUUCUCUAAGGGCGCUUGCCCUUAAAGAAGCUGACCCAGAGGCCUUGGUGCUGCCGGCGUGGGGAUCCCCAGAUGGGAACGCCCCUUGAUGGAGGAUCUCGUGUGCCUAUUGGCUGUCCUGCCAAACUGCGGAGGGUGACAAGGAAGAAGGUGGCUCCAGAUCUGGAGGGCUGGCUCUCGCUCGCCAAGGCUCGCUACGCGAUGGGCGCCAAGUCGGUAGGGCCCCUGCAGUAUGCUUCCCACAUGGAGCCCCAGGUCUGCCUCCACGCCAGCGAGGCCCAGGAGGGACUCCAGAAGUUCAAGGUGGUGAGAGCUGGUGUCCACGCCCCAGAGGAGGUGGGGCCUCGCGAAGCAGGUCUGCGGAGGCGCAAGGGCCCCACUAAGACCCCAGAACCGGAGUCCUCUGAGGCCCCUCAGGACCCCCUGAACUGGUUUGGAAUCCUAGUUCCUCACAGUCUACGUCAGGCUCAAGCAAGCUUCCGGGAUGGUGUCCUGGAGGCCAAGAAGAGAAAGUGUUUCCUGGAGCGAGUGAUCCAAUGUGUGGUCAGCCCUGCUGCUGAACAGGAGGCCGAAGACGAGAGCUGCCCGGAGGACUGGGCAGCAGCUGUUCCAGCAGAGACAUCAGCAAAAGCCAUCUAGAGGUGGAUCCAGAGUGUGGACUAACAGAGAAAAGAAGUGGAGGGAGAGCAGGCCUGCAGCUGGCCGCAGACAUAGCCAGCCUCCAGAACCGCAUUGACUGGGGUCGAAGCCAGCUCCGGGGACUCCAAGAGAAACUCAAGCAGCUGGAGCCUGGGGCUGCCUGACAUGCGCGCAAAGAGGCAGGGCAGCGAGCACAGCUGUUCUCCGACAUGGCUACGUGAUCUCAGGCCUUCUUCCUUCACAAUUAGCUCUUGCCCCUACCCCACGCCAGCUAAUGCCCCUUCUGUGUCCCUGCUCUGCAUGUUUCCAUUUUCCUUAGGUGUGAAGUUUGAAGAGGCAAACAGUAAUUUUGAAAGCCACUACUUUGAAACCAUUCUAAGGCCUGAGUUCCCAUAGGACACACUCACAUAGGCAGGUACACGUUAGUCAACAAUUGGAACUGCCUCUUGGAUCACUCAGCUGUGCUUUCAUGGCUGGAUGAUGGAACACUGUGCGAAGAGAGAUGGGGGCCAGGAAGUAGCGCUUCAUGCUUAGUACAUCCUCCAAAUUGUCUUUGCUGGAGGAGAAAACCGUACUCAGCCAAAAGAUCAGGACAAUAUGACUUGAGUCCACAAGGACACAAACACCUGAGUAGCUGGGCAGCCCUUGGCAGGGUCUAAGCCAGGAAGUAAAAAUGAUCUGGCCUAGAUAUUUAAGGGAACUCUAGGAAGAGGCCUAGGUUUUUAAAAUCCUGUCUCUUUGUCUUACCAUAAGAGGCUGAGCCUCUCUUCAUUUUUUUGAAGGGCCACUUGUGUUUUCUGUUCUGGGAACUUCAUUCAUUUUUCUACUGGGUUGUUGAUCUUUGCAGUAAUUUCUAGGAGCUGUUUAUGUUUGGAGGUAAUUGGUCCUUUGUCCAUAUAUAUGAGAUGUAAGUCUUAUUUUCCAGUUUAUCUUUUUGCUUAUUUUUUUUGACUUUUUAUUGUAAAAUAAAACAUCAAACUGCACAGAACAGUUGAAUAGCUUAAUGAAUAACUACAGUAAAAGCUAUGGUAACCACUACCCAACUUUUGUGUUUUUUGAUCAUUAUUUGUACGUACAGUUGAAUGUAUCCAGCUGUCACAUGAUUCUGAAUUUGGGUUUGUAACUGAUAAGGCAAUCAGGGAAUUCUCCAGCAUUUUCAAGAACCUCUGUGGUUUCAGUUGAAAUGUCCAGUGAGUCAUGUCCAGCUUUUCCACCAUCCUCCCACGUGCUGUAUGUCGGUUAAUGCUGCCCUUUUGUUUUGCUAACUCCCAGUGUAAACCUAAUGUAAUUUGGGGGUUUUCAUUCUGUUUCGUGGACAUUACUGUCAAUACACCAGUACCACAUUGUUUUA